GACGAACGCUGGCGGCGUGCUUAACACAUGCAAGUCGAACGGAAAGGCCCUGCUUUUGUGGGGUGCUCGAGUGGCGAACGGGUGAGUAACACGUGAGUAACCUGCCCUUGACUUUGGGAUAACUUCAGGAAACUGGGGCUCAUACCGGAUAUGAUCUCCUGCUGCAUGUUGGGCGUUGGAAAGUUUCGGCGGUUGGGGAUGGACUCGCGGCUUAUCCGCUUGUUGGUGGGGUAGUGGCUUACCAAGGCUUUGACGGGUAGCCGGCCUGAGAGGGUGAACGGCCACAUGGGGACUGAGAUAGGGCCCAGACGCCUACGGGAGGCAGCAGUGGGGAGUAUGGCACAAUGGGCGGAAGCCUGAUGCAGCAACGCCGCGUGCGGGAUGACGGCCUUCGGGUUGUAAACCGAUUUCGCCUGUGACGAAGCGGGAGUGACGGUAAUGGGUAAAGAAGCACCGGCUAACUACGUG
rnacentral:rRNA from 1 species